GCGCAAUGGGCGAAAGCCUGACGCAGCAACGCCGCGUGACCGAUGAAGCUUCUAGGAGUGUAAAGGUCUGUCGUGAGGGAAGAAAAAUCCGGAUGUAAAUAAUGUUCGGACGUGACGGUACCUCACAAGAAAGCACCGGCUAACUUAGUGCCAGCAGCCGCGGUAAUACUAGGGGUGCUAGCGUUGUCCGGAAUCACUGGGCGUAAAGGGUCCGUAGGCGUUUUGCUAAGUUGAUUGUUAAAUCCAUCGGCUCAACCGAUGAUCUGCAAUCAAAACUGGUAGAAUAGAGUUCGAGAGAGGAAAGUGGAAUUCCUGGUGUAGCGGUGACAUGCGUAGAUAUCAGGAGGAACACCAAUGGCGAAGGCAGCUUUCUGGCUCGAUACUGACGCUGAGGGACGAAAGCGUGGGGAGCGAACAGGAUUAGAUACCCUGGUAGUCCACGCCGUAAACGAUGAGUACUUGAUGAUGGAGGAUUCGACCCCUUCGUUGUCGUAGCUAACGCGAUAAGUACUCCGCCUGGGGACUACGACCGCAAGGUUG
rnacentral:rRNA from 1 species